rnacentral:rRNA from 1 species
CUCCAGACUCCUACGGGAGGCAGCAGUGGGGGAUAUUGCACAAUGGGGGAAACCCUGAUGCAGCGACGCCGCGUGGGUGAAGAAGCGCCUCGGCGCGUAAAGCCCUGUCAGCAGGGAAGAAAAUGACGGUACCUGAAGAAGAAGCCCCGGCUAACUACGUGCCAGCAGCCGCGGUAAUACGUAGGGGGCAAGCGUUAUCCGGAUUUACUGGGUGUAAAGGGGGCGCAGACGGCGAUGCAAGCCAGGAGUGAAAGCCCGGGGCCCAACCCCGGGACUGCUUUGGAAACUGUGUUGCUGGAGUGCUGGAGAGGCAAGCGGAAUUCCUAGUGUAGCGGUGAAAUGCGUAGAUAUUAGGAAGAACACCAGUGGCGAAGGCGGCUUGCUGGACAGUAACUGACGUUGAGGCUCGAAAGCGUGGGGAGCAAACAGGAUUAGAUACCCUCGUAA